rnacentral:rRNA from 1 species
CCUACGGGGGGCUGCAGUGAGGAAUAUUGGUCAAUGAGCGAGAGCCUGAACCAGCCAAGUCGCGUGAAGGAUGAAGGAUCUAUGGUUUGUAAACUUCUUUUAUAUGGGAAUAAAGUGAGGAACGUGUUCCUUUUUGUAUGUACCAUAUGAAUAAGCAUCGGCUAACUCCGUGCCAGCAGCCGCGGUAAUACGGAGGAUGCGAGCGUUAUCCGGAUUUAUUGGGUUUAAAGGGUGCGUAGGUGGUUAAUUAAGUCAGCGGUGAAAGUUUGUGGCUCAACCAUAAAAUUGCCGUUGAAACUGGUUGACUUGAGUAUAUUUGAGGUAGGCGGAAUGCGUGGUGUAGCGGUGAAAUGCUUAGAUAUGACGAAGAACCCCGAUUGCGAAGGCAGCUUGCUGCAGCGGAACUGACGCUGAUGCUCGAAAGCGCGGGUAUCGAACAGGAUUAGAUACCCCGGUAGUC